AACGAACGCUGGCGGCGUGCCUAAUACAUGCAAGUCGAACGAGAAAGUGUAGCAAUACAUUAGUAAAGUGGCAGACGGGUGAGUAAUACAUAGGUAACCUCCCUCUAAGUUGGGGAUAACCUUCCGAAAGGAGGGCUAAUACCGAAUGAGACCACAGUGACUCCGGUCACAGAGGUUAAAGACGGCCUCUACUUGUAAGCUUUCACUUAGAGAUGGGCUUAUGCACCAUUAGCUAGUUGGAAGGCAACGGCUUACCAAGGCUACGAUGGUUAGCUGAUCUGAGAGGUUGAUCAGCCACACUGGAACUGAGACACGGUCCAGACUCCUACGGGAGGCAGCAGUAGGGAAUAUUGCGCAAUGGAGGAAACUCUGACGCAGCGACG
rnacentral:rRNA from 1 species